AGAAAUAACAAUACAGGGCUAAUGUCUUGUAAUUGGAAUGAUGGUGACCCAAACCCUCACCAGAGUAGCAAUUGGAGGGCAAGUCUGGUGCCAGCAGCCGCGGUAAUUCCAGCUCCAAUAGCGUAUAUUAAACUUGUUGCAGUUAAAAAGCUCGUAGUUGAAUUUUAGCGUGUUCGAGUUUGCCAUUCGUUUGGCUUUUUCGAGUUCGCUUUUGGGUUUUCCCUUUUUACUUUGAGAAAAUUAGAGUGUUUCAAGCAGACUUUUGUCUUGAUACUUCAGCAUGGAAUAA
rnacentral:rRNA from 1 species